AACGUAGGAGGCGAGCGUUAUCCGGAUUUACUGGGUGUAAGCGCGUGCGGGCGGUUUGCGAAGUUGGAUGUGAAAGCUCCUGGCUCAACUGGGAGAGGUCGUUCAAAACUGGCAGACUUGAGAGCAGUAGGGGAAGGUGGAAUUCCGGGUGUAGUGGUGAAAUGCGUAGAUAUCCGGAGGAACACCAGUGGCGAAGGCGGCCUUCUGGACUGCAUCUGACGCUCAGACGCGAAAGCUAGGGUAGCAAACGGGAUUAGAGACCCCGGUAGUCCUAGCCGUAAACGAUGUGAACUUGGCGCUGGAUGGGUAAAACCAAUCAGUGCCGCAGCCAACGCGAUAAGUUCACCACCUGGGGACUACGGCCGCAAGGUUAAA
rnacentral:rRNA from 1 species